AACUUGCAGGAAAUGCUUAUAAACUGAGCAACCAGAGAUAGCAGCCAUGUUGGAGCAGCAUGGGGUUCAAAGUGUUCGAAUCAUCAAAGUCUGCACAAUCAACGAGAAACACACCCGACAAACUCGAAAACAUGUCCAAGGCAUUGCCAAAAGGCUCCACAAUAUGUAGUUGCUGUCUUAAUUACCACAGUUGCAUGCCAUUGCUGCGAUUUUCCAAGUCCCGUCUCUCCCUUGGGGAAGCAACUAUAGGCAACAGAAGAUUACUUGCUCUCAAUUGCAAAUUUAUGGAUCUGAGUAACACUCGGAUUCAAGUAUGUAUGUUUAGGUCAUAUCAUCACACCCAUCACCUAAUAUGCUUUGGGCACGAGUCUUGAAGAAAAUGAACAGCUAGAGGAACAAUGCAGGUUCUGUGGGCAAUGACAGCUAUGGUUGAAUAUAUAGUUUUGUCUUUUCCCUUUUGAGCUACUGUUGAGAAAUCCUACUGAUUUCAUGAUUUGUAAAGAAUUUGGAUUUCCAAGUCGUAAGAAGGAUCAAAUUAUAACAAAUUAAAGUACAAUGAUUAAAUCUAAAAUUUCAGCAUAAUAAAGGGGCAAACAAAAUUAGAGGGAAGAAGAAAAUGUUUAGUUGGCUAAAUUGCUGUUGUUAUCAUCGACAGUUGUUGUUGCUGUCGUUAAAUGGUUGCUUCAUUGUUCGUCUUGUCGGUCUCAUUCCUGGUAACUUCACAGCUUGAAUGAAAUGAUGUUAACCAA